AUUAGAAACAAUCCAGCCAUCCAUCAGUAGGGGCAAUCUGAAAUGAAUUAGUCUGUCCAGACUGCGUUACAUUUGAAUCCUCCCGAAAGCACGAAGUAGAUCACCUGUACUGACCCGGCAGGGAGCCGCCGGCCUGAGAAGGUGAUGCUCCCGGGGGAGUGAGUUCAGGCCCCCCGCCCCGUCCACUCAGGAGGCCUGAGAAGGUGAUGCUCCCGGGGGAGUGAGUGCAGGCCCCCCGCCCCGUCCACUCAGGAGGCCUGAGAAGGUGAUGCCCCCGGGGGAGUGAGUACAGGCCCCCCGCCCCGUCCACUCAGGAGGCAAUGCUUGUCAGCUCACCUCUGUCUCAGCAGCAGUGGCGUUUUCUGCUUUGAA